AUUGAACGCUGGCGGCAGGCCUAACACAUGCAAGUCGAGCGAGCGGCGGACGGGUGAGGAAUGUAUGGGGACUGCCCGAUAGAGGGGGAUAACUACUGGAAACGGUAGCUAAUACCGCAUACUAUCGGAUAACCCAUAUGGGAUUAGCUAGUAGGUGAGGUAAUGGCUCACCUAGGAGACGAUCCCUAGCUGGUCUUAGAGGAUGAGCAGCCACACUGGGACUUAGAAACGGCCCAGACUCCUCCGGAGGCAGCAGUGGGGAAUAUUGCACAAUGGGCGCAAGCCUGAUGCAGCCAUGCCGCGUGGAUGAAGAAGGCCCUAGGGUUGUAAAGUACUUUCAGUCGUGAGGCGUUACCGACAGAAGAAGCACCGGCUAACUCCGUGCCAGCAGCCGCGGUAAUAC
rnacentral:rRNA from 1 species